GCAUCGAUCCAUAGCUCAGUGGCAGAGCGGUGGGACGUUGACCCAUGUGGCCCGGGUUCGAGCCCCGGUCGAUGCA